UUCCUCAUGCGUGACCGGGGCGGGGC
rnacentral:piRNA from 1 species